rnacentral:sRNA from 1 species
GGGCUGGGGCCCAGAUAGCCCAAGAAGCACAGCUACUUUCAACUUGAAAAGGGUGGAAGGGAGUUGAACUGGGGCCCAUAUGCUGUCUUUCCAGCUUUAUUUCUAUCCACAGGCACCUUAAGGAUGUGAUCCUACUGACAGCCAUCGUGCAGGUGCUCAGCUGCUUCUCUCUCUAUGUCUGGUCCUUCUGGCUUCUGGCUCCAGGCCGGGCCCUUUACCUCCUGUGGGUGAAUGUGCUGGGCCCCUGGUUCACUGCAGACAGUGGCACCCCAGCACCAGAGCACAAUGAGAAACGGCAGCGCCGACAGGAGCGGCGGCAGAUGAAGCGGCUAUAGCCAUUGACAUUGUAGCCACAGGCCGCUGGCCCUGGGUGGCUCUGUCAGGGUGCACAGCCCCCCAUGCCUGGAGCAAUGAGGGUCUAGUCCAGGGGCCAAAAGCAGUCUGAGGUAUUGGGUAUACUUAUACUCUACAGGGUUGUUGAAUAAAUGGCUUAGAAUGUG